CAGCAGUCGCCGCGGGAAUACGGAGGGUGCAAGCGUUAAUCGGAAUUACUGGGCGUAAAGCGCACGCAGGCGGUCUGUCAAGUCGGAUGUGAAAUCCCCGGGCUCAACCUGGGAACUGCAUCCGAAACUGGCAGGCUAGAGUCUUGUAGAGGGGGGUAGAAUUCCAGGUGUAGCGGUGAAAUGCGUAGAGAUCUGGAGGAAUACCGGUGGCGAAGGCGGCCCCCUGGACAAAGACUGACGCUCAGGUGCGAAAGCGUGGGGAGCAAACAGGAUUAGAUACCCCAGUAGUCCCUGUCUCUUAUAC
rnacentral:rRNA from 1 species